CGUCAAGCUCAACACCCUAUUAUUUUCCAGGCUUUCUUGUAACUACCACUUUGAAAUACAUAUUGUUUUAGUAAGCUCAACAUUUCUUUCCCUUUCUUCUGGUAAUAACUCUUCUCCCCUUUUUAAAAAAAUUGGCCCUUCCCCAUCCCAUGUGGCUCGGGGAGGACUGCCAAUCACAAUUCCUUGCACUGAUCGGACAACAAUGAUACCCAUUCUGGGCUACAGUCAUAUGUCUAAAAUGGUCACAUGACCCAGGCAAGGCUAGAGUGUCCUUCCCUGUAACUUUACAAUCUGUUGCUAGGAAAGCUCCCUGUUUCCUCUGAGGUCUUGAGCUGAGAGGCUGGAAACCAGAAGCCACCCAUGACCAUGGCAUCAACAUACUGCCCAUACCCAUAGGUUCCAAAAAAUCGGCCAGCAGAAGGAAAGAAUGAGGCCAACGACCGGAGAGAAACACAGCCAAGAGAUGGAGAAAGGGAGAGUCUAAGAUACUACUGACAGUCAUCUGAGUCCCUGUAGGCUCUGAUGUCAGCACCAAUCUAGAACUUUCCAGUGGCAUAAGCCACUAAAUUCCUUUGUUUCCUUAGGCCAAUUUGAGUUGGGUUCUGUUACCCUGAACUGAAAGUCUCUAAACACCAAAAAACUGUGGUGGUGAUGCCAAUAAGCUAACUGCUCACACCAACUCUUUAUGGCUUCCCAGAGGAGCGAGCAACCUAAUGCUGUAGACCGGCUGGCCUUCUGCUGGACCAGUGAUGAAGACAGCAAAGAAGAUACUCUGGCCCUUUAGCCUGAAGAAGAAAAACCAAAACCAGAUUCCAUAUUCUCCCAAUCCAGGAUCUUGUCCUAUAGUAGUAUGUUGCCACCACCUGAACAUCAGUCUAGCAGACCUUUUACCUUAUUAUGCAGAAAGCACACUUGGCAUGAAAAGAAAGGGUAUCCUUGGCUAGAUUUGCUUCUGUCAUGGCUGAAAAGGUGAAGUGACCCGCUCUGAAAACAUGAAGCCCUUGGACUCUCAGGUCACUGCAUAGGGUGUUCUAAUUAGAAAAACAAGUGAAGCAUUUUACCCACCAACACAGUGGUGACAUUUGGUGAACUUCUAAAAAUCUUUAAUUAUUACUUAUACUUUACAUAUUUACCAAAAUGUUAUGUAUCUCCUUGAUAUUUAAUAAAAUCACUUUUAAAAUCCUA